AUACGUAGGGUGCGAGCGUUGUCCGGAAUUACUGGGCGUAAAGAGCUCGUAGGUGGUUUGUCGCGUCGUCUGUGAAAUUCCGGGGCUUAACUCCGGGCGUGCAGGCGAUACGGGCAUAACUUGAGUACUGUAGGGGAGACUGGAAUUCCUGGUGUAGCGGUGAAAUGCGCAGAUAUCAGGAGGAACACCGGUGGCGAAGGCGGGUCUCUGGGCAGUAACUGACGCUGAGGAGCGAAAGCAUGGGUAGCGAACCGGAUUAGAUACCCUGGUAGUCCAUGCCGUAAACGGUGGGCGCUAGGUGUAGGGGUCUUCCACGACUUCUGUGCCGUAGCUAACGCAUUAAGCGCCCCGCCUGGGGAGUACGGCCGCAAGGCUAAAACUCAAAUGAAUUGGCGGGG
rnacentral:rRNA from 1 species